AUGGAGGGGGACGACAAGUGGAAGCUGUCCAAGAAGGGGCGGAGCAGAUCGGGCCGGAACUACUACUACGGCGACGCGUCCGGGUCCGGGGCCAGCACCAGCGGGGGCCUGAGCCGGAGCUACUCGGCCAGCGUCACCGCCACCCGGGACGGCAGCGCCGGGGCCAGCGGGAGCGGGAGCGGGGGCGGGAGCUCGUCGUCGGAGCAGCAGAAGAAGGAGGAGGCCGAGUCCCGGCGGCGGCUGUCCAAGAAGUGCGUGGAGGCGGUCAAGGAGCACCGCGCGCGCUUCUACAUCGUCCGCCGCUGCGUCUCCAUGCUCGUCUGCUGGCGCGACUACUAG
rnacentral:rRNA from 1 species